CAACCCUCAAGCCCCGCUUGGUGAUGGGCCCCGCCCGCGGGCGGGCCCGAAACUCGCAGGCGCCAACUCCCGGCCUCAAGCGUAGCAAAACCCUCGCUUGGGCGUCCGGGCGACGGCCGCCCCGAACGAAUUACUCACAAGG
rnacentral:misc_RNA from 1 species